rnacentral:rRNA from 1 species
GACGAACGCUGGCGGCGCGCUUAACACAUGCAAGUCGAGCGACGAAAGGUCCUUCGGGACCCUGAAAGCGGCGAACGGGUGAGUAACACGUGGGUAACCAACCCUCGGUUCCGGGAUAGCCCGAGGAAACUCGGAUUAAUACCGGAUGGCCUCUAGAGCUCACGGGCUCGAGAGGAAAGGUAGCUUCGGCCUCCGACCGAGGACGGGCCCGCGGCCGAUUAGCUUGUUGGUGAGGCAACGGCUCACCAAGGCGACGAUCGGUAGCUGGUCUGAGAGGACGAUCAGCCACACUGGGACUGAGACACGGCCCAGACUCCUACGGGAGGCAGCAGUGGGGAAUCUUGCGCAAUGCGCG